UCCUGGCUAGCUCAACGGUAGAGCAACCGGCUGUUAACCGGUGGGUUACAGGUUCGAAUCCUGUGCCAGGAGCCA
rnacentral:tRNA from 2 species